AACAAAUUCAGACUGUGAAACUGCGAAUGGCUCAUUAAAUCAGUUAUAGUUUCUUUGAUGGUAUUUGCUACUCGGAUAACCGUAGUAAUUCUAGAGUUAAUACGUGUAACAAACCCCGACUUCUGGAAAGGAUGCAUUUAUUAGAUAAAAGGUUGGGGCGGGUUUUGCCCGUUGCUCUGAUGAUUCAUGAUAACUCAACGGAUCGCACGGCCUUUGUGCCGGUGAUGCAUCAUUCAAAUUUCUGCUCUAUCAACUUUUGAUGGUAGGACAGUGGCCUACUAUGGUGGUGACGAGUGACGGAGAAUUAGGGUUCGAUUCCAGAGAAGGAGCCUGAGAAACGGCUACCACAUCCAAGGAAGGCAGCAGGCGCGCAAAUUACCCAAUCUUGACACGGGGAGGUAGUGACAAUAAAUAACAAUACCGGGCUUUAUGAGUCUGGUAAUUGGAAUGAGUACAAUCUAAAUCCCUUAACGAGGAUCUAUUGGAGGGCAAGUCUGGUACCAGCAGCCACAGUAAUUCCAGCUCCAAUAGCGUAUAUUUAAGUUGUUACAGUUAAAAAGCUCGUAGUUGGACUUAUUGAUGGGUCGGCCGGUCCACCUCACGGUGAGCACCGGUCUGCUUGUCCCUACUGCCGGCGAUGCGCUCCUAGCCUUAAUUGGCCGGGUCGUUCCUCCGGCGCUGUUACU
rnacentral:ncRNA from 1 species